rnacentral:SRP_RNA from 1 species
GCCGGGCGUAUUGGCGGGCGCCUGUAGUCCCAGCUACUCGGGAGGCUGAGGCAGGAGAAUUGCUUGAACCUGGGAGGCGGAGGUUGCAGUGAGUGGAGAUCGCACCACUGCACUCCAGCCUGGGUGACAGAGCAAGACUCUGUCUCAA